rnacentral:rRNA from 1 species
GACGAACGCUGGCGGCGUGCUUAACACAUGCAAGUCGAGCGGUAAGGCCCUUUCGGGGGUACGACGAGCGGCGAGCGGGUGAGUAACACGUGGGUGACCUGCCCUCAGCUCUGGGAUAAGCCUGGGAAACCGGGUCUAAUACCGGAUAUGACUCCAUGACGCAUGUUGUGGGGUGGAAAGCCUUGUGCGGCUGAGGAUGGGCCCGCGGCCUAUCAGCUUGUUGGUGGGGGAUGGCCUACCAAGGCGACGAUCAGUAGCUGGUCUGAGAGGAUGAUCAGCCACAUUGGGACUGAGACACGGCCCAAACUCCUACGGGAGGCAGCAGUGGGAAUAUUGGACAAUGGGCGAAAGCCUGAUCCAGCCAUG